AUGGGACUAGCUUAGAGAAGAAUAAAUCCACCAUUAAUGUCAUGUUAUUAUGUGAAGAACGUGUUGCAGAAUACACCUGCAGCAGAACACCAGUCUGGAAGGACCCACAGCAUGGGAUGCCAUUGUGAGCAAUGGAGAUACAGCAUUGUAUUCAUAGGGCAUGUCCCGUGAGGGACAAACUGCGUUUGCAAAAAGAAAUCAGGCUAAGGAAACUAAAAAAUAUGUGGUCACUUCCUCAAGAAGAGCAUAUGAUUGGAAGAGACAUGAGACAGCCACUUGCUGAAGACAAGCAGGAUCUAGCUCUGCUCAGGGCCUGGGAGACCUGAGAACUACAGCUGAAAAAGAGAGAAGACGGAGGGGAAGGUGAGGAGGGCCGGAGGCAGGAGAGGAGAGGGCCUGAACCAGAACUGGCAACAUCGCAUGUUCUUAUGAUCUGACCAUGUCAAGAAAAGCUCAAGAUUUUAAUUUCCGUCUGCAGAAAAGUGCCAGUCAUGGAGGUUAGGCUGCAGCAAUGUGUAUGUGUGGGGGGGUGUGGGCGUGUGGAAUUUCUGCCAAAUCAUUCUCAGACCACACAGAGGGAACAGGGGUGUUGGCUCCUCUCUAAGGUGCAUCUGCCUGGGGAGACAGACCUGCAGAGCCCUGCUCUUUUUACAAUCCAGCCCAGGGGCCACAAUGAGCUUUGUAAAGCCCCAUCAAGGUUGCUUGCCAGUCCUCUUAACUCUUCCCCAGCAUCCAUCCUGGUUAUGGGUACCUUAUAACCACAUGCACUGUGUUGCUGCAGUGCCAUAAAGAAACAUGGUGGCAAAAACUGGGUGAUAAGCAGCCACUGAGAGCAGUAAGCUAGACGGAUAGUUGCCAGCCUCUGAGGCAGCAGGUAAAGAGGGUGUGAAUGGUAGGCAACUAGUGACUUUGUGGCCGAGGUGAGGUCUGAACUAGAGACUUCCCACCUCACAGAAACAUAGGCAGCUGCCUCAUGCCCUCUCAGUAGUUAGUUCUACCUCCCACAGAUGUUAAGGAACCCCGGGAGAGAGUGUUCUUUGUGGCAGCCCCUAAGUGGUGGAAUUCCCUCCCCAGAGAGGUGCGCCUGGCACCUUCAUUGUAUAGCUUUAGUCAUAUGCUGAAGAUGCACCUCUUUACCCUGGCCUUUGGCACCUGAGAGAGAUAUAUUUUAGGACCUGCCCUGUUCUUCCAAUUGUAAAUUGUUUUAACUAAUUUUAAUAUUGUAUUGGUUGUAAUCCAUCCUGGGAUCUAAUAGUGAAAGACUGGUAAAAAAUCUAAUUCCUCCUUCUCCUACUCCAAUAAAUACCAGGUCAGACUAUUU